UACGUAGGGUCCGAGCGUUGUCCGGAAUUAUUGGGCGUAAAGGGCUCGUAGGCGGUUCGUCACGUCGGGAGUGAAAACUCGGGGCUUAACCCCGAGCCUGCUUCCGAUACGGGCAGACUAGAGGUAGGCAGGGGAGAGCGGAACUCCUGGUGUAGCGGUGGAAUGCGCAGAUAUCAGGAAGAACAACCGGUAGGCGAAGGCGGCUCUCUGGGCCUUACCUGACGCUGAGGAGCGAAAGCGUGGGUAGCGAACAGG
rnacentral:rRNA from 1 species